rnacentral:rRNA from 1 species
CUACGUGCCAGCAGCCGCGGUAAUACGUAGGGUGCGAGCGUUAAUCGGAAUUACUGGGCGUAAAGCGGGCGCAGACGGUUACUUAAGCAGGAUGUGAAAUCCCCGGGCUCAACCUGGGAACUGCGUUCUGAACUGGGUGACUAGAGUGUGUCAGAGGGAGGUAGAAUUCCACGUGUAGCAGUGAAAUGCGUAGAGAUGUGGAGGAAUACCGAUGGCGAAGGCAGCCUCCUGGGAUAGCACUGACGUUCAUGCUCGAAAGCGUGGGUAGCAAACAGGAUUAGAUACCCUGGUAGUCCACGCCCUAAACGAUGUCAAUUAGCUGUUGGGGCACUAGAUGCCUUAGUAGCGAAGCUAACGCGUGAAAUUGACCGCCUGGGGAGUACGGUCGCAAGAUUAAAACUCAAAGGAAUUGACGGGGACCCGCACAAGCGGUGGAUGAUGUGGAUUAAUUCGAUGCAACGCGAAGAACCUUACCUGGUCUUGACAUGUACGGAAUCUCUCAGAGACGGGAGAGUGC